GAUGAACGCUGGCGGCGUGCCUAAUAUAUGCAAGUCGAGCGGUAAGGCUCCUUCGGGAGUACACGAGCGGCGGACGGGUGAGUAAUACGUAGGAACGUACCCCAAAGUGAGGAAUAACCAGCCGAAAGGUUGGCUAAUACCGCAUAUGCUCUACGGAGUAAAGCAGCAAUGCGCUUUGGGAACGGCCUGCGUCCGAUUAGCUAGUUGGUAAGGUAAAGGCUUACCAAGGCGACGAUCGGUAGCUGUUCUGAGAGGAUGAUCAGCCACACUGGAACUGAGACACGGUCCAGACUCCUACGGGAGGCAGAAGUAGGGAAUUUUCCACAAUGGGCGAAAGCCUGAUGGAGCAACGCCGCGUGCAGGAUGAAGGCCUUAGGGUUGUAAAGCUCUGUCUUCGGGGACGAUAAUGACGGUACCCGAGGAGGAAGCCACGGCUAACUACGUGCCAGCCGCCGCAGUAA
rnacentral:rRNA from 1 species